GAGGCACAGAAAUACCAUAAAAUUGUCUAAAUUACACAUGCAAAUUAAUCUUGGGGCUAGAACUUGAUGGAAUAUCUAUGUUCUUAGACAAUGCUAAUUGAUUAUAGGAACUGCCUUUAGGACCAGAACAAGAAUCUAAUGUCUAAAUGGUAAGAGCCUUGCCUGAAUUUUCUGCUUUUCGCCAUUACUGAAUCAAAAUAUGAUUUAAUUCAAUGUCUAUUUUUGGAGGCACUAUGAUAUUGAAGAUAUUUUUCUAGAUGUUAUUGAGUAUAGAUGAUGUAAGGUUUUUUUUUUCCUUCAAGACAUGUACAAUCUAAUGAAAUUCACUAGCUUGCAGGUUUAUAAGCAUCUUCAUGAUGUUCAUUGCUUAAUUCUUCUUAGCCAAAAGUUAUGUUAAAACUCUCAAUAUUAUACUUUAAAAAGACAUCAUGAUGCACAUGUUCUCAAAUUUCUGUCUGCUUAAGAUUAGUUCAGUCAUUGUGGAAAGCAAUGUGGUGAUUUCUUAAAGAGCUUAAAGCAGAAUUACCAUUGACACAGCACUCCUAUUAUUGAGUAUAUACCCAAAAGAAUAUAAAUCAUUCUACCAUUAAAACAAAUACAUGCAUAUGUUCAUCUUAGCACUAGUCACAAUAGCAAAGACAAGGAAUCAACAUAAAUGCCCAUUAAUGGUAGACUGGAUAAAAAAAAUGAGGCACAUGGCCAGGCGUGUUGGCUUAUGCCAGUAAUCCCAGCACUUUGGGAGGCUGAGCGGGGUGGAUCACAAGGUCAGGAGAUCGAGACCAUCCUGGCUAACAUGGUGAAACUCCGUCUCUACUAAAAAUACAAGAAAAAAAGAAAUUAGCCGGGCGUGGUGGCAGGCACCUGUAGUCCCAGCUACUAGGGAGGCUGAGGCAGGAGAAUGGCAUGAACCUGGGAGGCGGAGCUUGCAGUGAGCCGAGAAUGCACCACUGCACUCCAGCAUGGGUGACAGAAUGAGACUGUGCCUCAAAAAAAAAAAAAAAAAAGAAAGAAAGAAAGAAAAUGAGGCACAUGUACACCAUGGAAUACUACAAAGCCACAAAAAAGAAGGAGUUCAUGUCCUUUGCAGCAACAUAGAUGGAGCUGGAGGCCAUUGCCCUUAGCAAACUAAUGCAGGAACAGAAAACCAAAUACUGCAGGUUCUCACUUAUAAGUGGGAGCUAAACAUUGAGUACAUGUGGACAGAAAGAAGAGAAUAACAGACACUGGGACCUAUUUCAGCAUGGAGGGAGGGUGAGGAUCAAAAAACUACCUAUUGGAUACUGCAGUUAUCACCUGGGUGAUGAAAUAAUCUGUACACAAGACUGCUGUGACACACAAUUUAACUAAAUAACAAACCACAUAUACCCCUGAACCUAAAAGUUUAAAAAAAAAUAAAACUUUUUUAAAAAAUAAAAUGUUUUAGAAAAGAAUCUUUUGGAUUGGUGGGUAAAUUAAGAUUGUGAUUUAGUUGUGUCCAAGAAUUUGAAUGUUCCAUGAACAUCCCAAGAGGUUCCAAUGUCUGAGAUGAGGAUCCCACUUUGAGAAGCACGACCUUUAUCUCCCCUCCUUCUUAUGAGCUCGCCAUGCCACUGCAUUGUUUCUGAUGAAAUGCAGGUAACCAGAAUGUCAGCUGCUUAUUCCAGCAGUCACACAAAAUGCCAAGGAUGCACCAAUUAUAGUGUAAAGUGAGGGAAGAUUUUUAUUUUAAGAAGAAAGGCUAUAGUAAAAAGAUGAAGACAAUAAUAGAAUGUAGAAACACAUCUAAAUUGGAAGAAGCAAAUCUUCAUAAGUCAAUGAGACAGGACUGGUGAGGGUCAAUGGCUACUCCAGUAAUAAGACAGACCAAAUAUACCUUAACAUUUGAAACUAAGAUCAACAAGGAAGUCUGCCCAAGUCCUGACUAAUCAAGCCAGUUGUAUUUGGAUCCUUCCCUUUCUUUCUUCUCCAUUCUUAGAAUAAAAAGAAAAUAAAUUGCAUGUCAGUGGAUGGUGAAAUGUUUUCCAGUUACACUGAUUUCAGACUGUUAACUGUUGAACUAAUACUAACAUAAUGAAGGAACGUCCUUGAUGAAGGCUUCAGCAUUCAAGUGACACUGGCUUCUUCUGGAACAAAUUAUGGAAGAUUGCAAAUGACUUAGAAGGACUGUAUAUAUGCCAAAUCUCACACUGAAAUGACAAGGAGCUCUCCUCACC
rnacentral:lncRNA from 10 species